rnacentral:rRNA from 1 species
AUUGAACGCUGGCGGCAGGCCUAACACAUGCAAGUCGAGCGAGCGGCGGACGGGUGAGUAAUGUAUGGGGACUGCCCGAUGGAGGGGGAUAACUACUGGACACGGUGGCUACUACCGCAUACUAUCGGAUAACCCAUAUGGGAUUAGCUAGUAGGUGGGGUAAAGGCUCCCCUCGGCGACGAUCGCUAGCGGGUCUGAGAGGAUGAUCAGCCAACCUGGUACGGAGACACGGCCCAGACUCCUACGGAGGCAGGAGUGGGGAAUAUUGAACAAUGGGCGCAAGCCUGAUGCAGCCAUGCCGCGUGUAUGAAGAAGGCCUUAGGGUUGUAAAGUACUUUCAGCGGGGAGGCGUUACCCGCAGAAGAAGCACCGGCUAACUCCGUGCCAGCAGCCGCGGUAAUUC